CUGAAAAGAUGCAUGUAGAGGAGAAAAAAAAAACAUGUACUUUGGUCGACUCAUUAUCUUGGAUUGUAGGCCUUGAUAUCAUUGGUCCAUUCAGGAAUAUUUGCCCCACAUGUAGCUCCUUACUCAUAACUGCUCUCCUUCUGGUCCUCACAGCUGAGAAAAUGGGAAAAUCUGCUAGGAAAAUCCUACAGGGUACCUCUGGACCUCAGUUUCUUAUUCUUACACAAGUGGAAGCUGGGCUGGAUUAUCUUCUGAUGUUUAUGCCUGCUCUGAAUUUCUAGUUAUUACUCCCACUGGCCAGGUGCCGACAGAAAACAGAAGGUACUGGGAAAAGAACUGGACUGGGAGCGUGAAGAUUUGAGUUUGAUUCUAAGCUCUGAUAGUUGAU
rnacentral:lncRNA from 1 species